UACGUAGGGUGCGAGCGUUAAUCGGAAUUACUGGGCGUAAAGCGUGCGCAGGCCGCCGAGCAUGUCGAGUGUGAAAGCCCCGAGCUUAACUUGGGAACUGCGCUCGAAACUACUUGGCUAGAGUGUGGCAGAGGGAGGUGGAAUUCCACGUGUAGCGGUGAAAUGCGUAGAGAUGUGGAGGAACACCGAUGGCGAAGGCAGCCUCCUGGGCCUGAUCUGACACUGAGACACGAAAGCGUGGGGAUCAAACAGG
rnacentral:rRNA from 1 species